rnacentral:rRNA from 1 species
GUCCCUAUCCGUCGUGGGCGUAGGAAAUUUGAGAGGAGCUGUCCUUAGUACGAGAGGACCGGGAUGGACAUACCUCUGGUGUACCAGUUGUCGUGCCAACGGCAUAGCUGGGUAGCUAUGUGUGGACGGGAUAAGUGCUGAAAGCAUCUAAGCAUGAAGCCCCCCUCAAGAUGAGAUUUCCCAACUUCGGUUAUAAGAUCCCUCAAAGAUGAUGAGGUUAAUAGGUUCGAGGUGGAAGCAUGGUGACAUGUGGAGCUGACGAAUACUAAUCGAUCGAAGACUUAAUCAAAA